UGGGGAAUAUUGCACAAUGGGCGCAAGCCUGAUGCAGCCAUGCCGCGUGUGUGAAGAAGGCCUUCGGGUUGUAAAGUACUUUCAGCGGGGAGGAAGGGAGUAAAGUUAAUACCUUUGCUCAUUGACGUUACCCGCAGAAGAAGCACCGGCUAACUCCGUGCCAGCAGCCGCGGUAAUACGGAGGGUGCAAGCGUUAAUCGGAAUUACUGAGCGUAAAGCGCACGCAGGCGGUUUGUUAAGUCAGAUGUGAAAUCCCCGGGCUCAACCUGGGAACUGCAUCUGAUACUGGCAAGCUUGAGUCUCGUAGAGGGGGGUAGAAUUCCAGGUGUAGCGGUGAAAUGCGUAGAGAUCUGGAGGAAUACCGGUGGCGAAGGCGGCCCCCUGGACGAAGACUGACGCUCAGGUGCGAAAGCGUGGGGAGCAAACAG
rnacentral:rRNA from 1 species